rnacentral:rRNA from 1 species
UAUGUGAUCGUCUCUCGCAUAUCAAUAAGCGGAGGAAAAGAAACUAACAAGGAUUCCCUUAGUAACGGCGAGUGAAGCGGGAAGAGCUCAAAUUUGAAAUCUUCAAGGUUUUACCUUGACGAAUUGUAGUUUAAAGAAGUGUUUUCUGCUGAAGUUUUGGUAAAAGUUCUUUGGAAUAGGACAUCAUAGAGGGUGAGAAUCCCGUAUUUGACCAUUAUUUUCAGCUUUGUGAUACACUUUCAAAGAGUCGGAUUGUUUGGGAAUGCAGUCCAAAAUGGGUGGUAAAUUUCAUCUAAAGCUAAAUAUUGGCGAGAGACCGAUAGCGAACAAGUACCGUGAGGGAAAGAUGAAAAGAACUUUGAAAAGAGAGUUAAACAGUACGUGAAAUUGUCAAAAGGGAAGCGUUUGACACCAGUGUUGUUUUUCUCAGAAAAUCAAUUAAAAAUGGCUCGAUUUUGUAUUGCUGAGACCUUAAAAGCUCACUGUACAUUUUUCGUGUCUUUUUUAAUGCACUUUUCGUUUAACAAGUCAACAUCAGUUUCUUUUGUUGUAAAAGAGUAUUCGGAAGGUGGCUUUCUUUUCGGAGAAAGUGUUUAUAGCCCUAUACUUCUACAAUCGGAGAGAUUGAGGUCUGCAGCGUAGAUCCUUCGGGGUUAGAUACAUUUGUGCUAAGUUGUAGCUUUUCAUAGACAACUUGUUGACUAUGUUUAGUCAUGCGGCUUACUCGCUUAUGCUAUUUUACCUACGCUUAGGAUGUUGACGAUCAGCUGAGCGCG